rnacentral:lncRNA from 1 species
UUGGUUAGUUAUUUACUACGAUUAUUGAUUUGGUUAUGAGUCAGUUCCUUCUCUUAAUUUUCUGUUUAUCUAAUAUUAUCCUCUUCAUGGGGAGAGAGUAACAAAUUAAUAGAGAAGUAACUGAAGAACUCGUAUAUAGGGCUGGAAAUGAGUCGACUCGAGUUCGGUUCGUUUAAAGUUCGCGAAUAGUUCAAUUCAGCUCGUUAAGUUCAGUUCAUUUGUUCAA